GACGAACGCUGGCGGCGUGCCUAACACAUGCAAGUCGAACGGGGUGGUUUCUUCGGAGAUCACUUAGUGGCGAACGGGUGAGUAACGCGUGAGAAACCUGCCUUUCAGGGGGGGACAACAGUUGGAAACGACUGCUAAUACCGCAUAAGCCCACAGCUCGGCAUCGAGCAGAGGGAAAAGGAGUGAUCCGCUUUGAGAUGGCCUCGCGUCCGAUUAGCUAGUUGGUGGGUAACGGCCCACCAAGGCAACGAUCGGUAGCCGGACUGAGAGGUUGAACGGCCACAUUGGGACUGAGACACGGCCCAG
rnacentral:rRNA from 1 species